AAAUUGAAGAGUUUGAUCAUGGCUCAGAUUGAACGCUGGCGGCAGGCCUAACACAUGCAAGUCGAACGGUAACAGGAAACAGCUUGCUGUUUCGCUGACGAGUGGCGGACGGGUGAGUAAUGUCUGGGAAACUGCCCGAUGGAGGGGGAUAACUACUGGAAACGGUAGCUAAUACCGCAUAACGUCGCAAGACCAAAGAGGGGGACCUUCGGGCCUCUUGCUAUCGGAUGUGCCCAGAUGGGAUUAGCUAGUAGGUGGGGUAACGGCUCACCUAGGCGACGAUCCCUAGCUGGUCUGAGAGGAUGACCAGCCACACUGGAACUGAGACACGGUCCAGACUCCUACGGGAGGCAGCAGUGGGGAAUAUUGCACAAUGGGCGCAAGCCUGAUGCAGCCAUGCCGCGUGUAUGAAGAAGGCCUUCGGGUUGUAAAGUACUUUCAGCGGGGAGGAAAGGAGUAAAGUUAAUACCUUUGCUCAUUGACGUUACCCGCAGAAGAAGCACCGGCUAACUCCGUGCCAGCAGCCGCGGUAAUACGGAGGGUGCAAGCGUUAAUCGGAAUUACUGGGCGUAAAGCGCACGCAGGCGGUUUGUUAAGUCAGAUGUGAAAUCCCCGGGCUCAACCUGGGAACUGCAUCUGAUACUGGCAAGCUUGAGUCUCGUAGAGGGGGGUAGAAUUCCAGGUGUAGCGGUGAAAUGCG
rnacentral:rRNA from 1 species